UUCUAGGUGACUGAGUUAAAGUGCUAGAUUUUUAAUCUAGAAACAGCAUGUAGAGAGAUGCUCCUAGAAG
rnacentral:tRNA from 1 species